AUGCUUUCGGUGGAGAGCGCUUUCUGCAGAGGGAUUUGGGGUUGCAAACGCCCCUCCUCCACGGCCACCAACAGGCCCCUUUCUUCCUCCUCCCUCACCCCUCCCAGCUCAAACAAAUUAACAUUCGCACUAAGGUACCUCCUAUCAGCUCGCAGCUUCUUCCCAAACACGCCCACGCACCCUGAAACCCGCCUGCGUCUACACCGCACACGGCGGCAGGAAAAGCGCUUCGAGGGGGGCGGGGAGCCGCGGCGGCAGCGCACAGCCCACACAGCAAAGGAAUCCCAGGCGCUGCGGGCAGCUAGCGCGGCGGUGCGGGACCCCCCUCCGUGUCCGCACGCGGCCUCCGCCGCCGCGGCGCCGCUCACCCCGCGCUCCGCGGGCGGUUCGGCCCCGCAACAGGUCACCCGCCUCGGCUCGGUGACGGGGGUGCAGGCGCCCCGGCCGAGAGGGGGUGUGGCUGGCGCGGCGGGGCCCGGCCCCGGCUCACCUGAGAGGCUGAGGCGACGCCGGGGCCUCCGCCACCGCGGGACCGCGAGCGACCCGCAGCCCGCCCUCCCGCGCCGCGCACCGCGGCCGCCGCCGCCAUUGCCCGCGCCUCCCCACACGCCCGCACGCCACGCCGACCUGUGCAGCCGCGGCCGUCGCCUCCGCUUCGCCCGCGGCUCCGAGGCAAUCGCUCGCCCAACCGAGCAGUCGGCGUCUCUCAUUCAGCGCCUGCCGCCGGCGCUCGGGGGAGGGGAGUGCGCUGGAUCCACCCCGGCCGCGCAGGGGGCGCGCGCCGGGCGGGCGGGGCGGAGCGGCGCGCGCACCAACCGAGCGCGCUCGCGCGGCCGGGAACGCCGGGUCGCCGGGGUCUCGGCGCAGUCUGCGGGCGCCGGGCUAUGCCCCCCGAGGCCAACUGCCGCCCCGUACCGGUGUCCGAGGCGCGUGCCCCAGCCGCAGGCGCAGCACCGGCCGCAAGGACGAGCCGCAGGGUUCAGGACGGACAGGUGGGGCCCCGCGGCUGCUCCCCGCACGGGUCUCGUUGGCGCCUGGGACGCGGGCGUUGCUCCCCGCUCGGGCCAGAGGACAAAAGUCUGGAAACGCUUGGCCCCCAGAUCAAAUACCCAGCCCGUGAGGGCGGCGUCCUUAGGAGUCGUGGCGGACAAGUGGAGGGGGACUGCAAAUGUGAAGAGUCACCCCACAGCCGUGGGAUCUUAAAUGAUGGAGUCUGCACUCUAGCACAUCAUCAUGCCGGAAGUGUUGGGUCGGCCUCUAGGUGUUAAGCAGGGUGGCUGCCGGUGGUUUAAGGAGCAAAUAACAAUAUUUGGGAUCCCCUAGUCCCGGAUUGA